rnacentral:rRNA from 1 species
CGGGUGCACUGAUCCGGCCGGGCCUUUCCCUCUGUGGAACCCCAUGGCCUUCACUGGCUGUGCGGGGGAAACAGGACUUUUACUGUGAAAAAAUUAGAGUGCUCCAGGCAGGCCUAUGCUCGAAUACAUUAGCAUGGAAUAAUAGAAUAGGACGCGUGGUUCUAUUUUGUUGGUUUCUAGGACCGCCGUAAUGAUUAAUAGGGACAGUCGGGGGCAUCGGUAUUCAAUUGUCAGAGGUGAAAUUCUUGGAUCUAUUGAAGACUAACUACUGCGAAAGCAUUUGCCAAGGAUGUUUUCAUUGAUAAGGAACGAAAGUUAGGGGAUCGAAGACGAUCAGAUACCGUCGUAGUCUUAACUAUAAACUAUGCCGACUAGGGAUCGGACGAUGUUAUUUCUUGACGCGUUCGGCACCUUUCGAGAAAUCAAAGUGCUUGGGCUCCAGGGGGAGUAUGGUCGCAAGGCUGAAACUUAAAGAAAUUGACGGAAGGGCACCACCAGGGGUGGAACCUGCGGCUUAAUUUGACUCAACACGGGGAAACUCACCAGGUCCAGACACAGUGAGGAUUGACAGAUUGAGAGCUCUUUCUUGAUUCUGUGGGUGGUGGUGCAUGGCCGUUCUUAGUUGGUGGAGUGAUUUGUCUGCUUAAUUGCGAUAACGAACGAGACCUUAACCUGCUAAAUAGCCCGUACUGCUCUGGCAGUUCGCCGGCUUCUUAGAGGGACUAUCGG